AUGAUGUUGCUAAAAAGAACAUUAUUUUGUGUAUUUGGUGUAAUGAAAUUUGUUUAGCACUUCGGUGCCAUGACGUAAAGUCCCGUUUCACGGCGUUGGAUAGCAAGCUUGUCCCCGGCCUCUGGCUGGUGUGGACAGCGUCCUGUAUAUUCCUACAUCUUCCCAGAGCCCUUUGGGCCAUUACUGGGGAGGUAAACCAUGCAGUGCACAUGU
rnacentral:snoRNA from 1 species